CAUCAAAGGAUUAAUUUAUUAUUAAUACAAGAAUUUCAAGUCACACAUAUGAAUGAAAUAACAUUUGACAAUUAAGAAGAAAAACACUUGCAACCAGCAAGUUCAUUGUUGAUGCAUCAUUUGUUAAAUAUCAGGAAACCACUAAAGCCAAGCAAGUUCAUUGUUCCAAAACCAUAAAUGCAACAGGUUCAUGGUUGAUGCAACAAGUUGCUAUACACUGUGCAAUUAAAUACUUUGAUCAACAUUGUUUGUUUGUUUCUCGAUUGCUUAGUUCCCGUUCCAGAGCCCCUGCACUUCAACCGGUUAUCAGCGGGAUUGGCAUCGGAGAUGGCCUUAGGCAUGUUGAUCAAAGUUCAAAGAGAAGGGCGAAGGGUUCCUUCAAUUGACUUAGGGUGUGUUUGGUUGAGGGAAGAAGUUGUAAAGAGAAAAAUAGGUGAAAAAAGUGUGAUAAGAGAGAAGUAUGAGAGAAAUAGAGUAGAUUUGAUAUAUUGUUUGGUAGAAGAGAAAGAAAUGAGAAAUAGAAGAAAAAAGAUGUGUUUAAUUUAUAAAAUAACAAAAACACCCUUCAUAUAA